UAUAUCUUAUUAUAUGAUGUAUAAUAAUUUUUGAGAUUUUAGGUAAUAAUUUGAUUUAUUAGAUAUAG
rnacentral:tRNA from 1 species